CAGAUAAUUUCAACAUUUUUUUCGAAUGUGCAAUUUCCUCAGAAAGUGAAUGAAAAAGUGAAAGUACACAACAAUUUUACGGGGCGGAUAUUUGUACUAUGUGUACUUUUUGUUGGCAAACAAAAUACACGCACACACAAUGGCGCACAAGCAAUUUUUUGAUUGAUCUGAUUCAAUUUUUCAACUAACGCGGAAAAAACAUAUAAAUUUCGUAAUUUU
ensembl:ncRNA C18F3.11 ncRNA